rnacentral:rRNA from 1 species
UACGAAGGGGGCUAGCGUUGUUCGGAAUUACUGGGCGUAAAGGGCGCGUAGGCGGUGUGUCAAGUCAGGCGUGAAAUCCCCAGGCUCAACCUGGGAACUGCAUUCGAGACUGCAUUGCUAGAGUAUGGGAGAGGGAAGUGGAAUUUCCGGUGUAGCGGUGAAAUGCGUAGAUAUCGGAAGGAACAUCAGUGGCGAAAGCGACUUCCUGGACCAAUACUGACGCUCAUGUGCGAAAGCGUGGGGAGCAAACAGG